GGGUCAAUGACGAGAACUCAUAUGAUCAUGAAGAGAGAUGAGGACCAAAAAUCAUGCUCAAUAGGAUUACACUGAGGCCC